AUUGAACGCUGGCGGCAGGCCUAACACAUGCAAGUCGAGCGGAUGAAGGGAGCUUGCUCCUGGAUUCAGCGGCGGACGGGUGUGUAAUGCCUAGGAAUCUGCCUGGUAGUGGGGGAUAACGUCCGGAAACGGGCGCUAAUACCGCAUACGUCCUGAGGGAGAAAGUGGGGGAUCUUCGGACCUCACGCUAUCAGAUGAGCCUAGGUCGGAUUAGCUAGUUGGUGGGGUAAAGGCCUACCAAGGCGACGAUCCGUAACUGGACUGAUAGGAGGAUCAGUCACACGGGAACUGAGACACGGUCCAGACUCCUACGGGAGGCAGCAGUGGGGAAUGUUGGACAAUAGGCGAAAGCAUGAUCCAGCCAUGCCGCGUGUGUGAAGAAGGUCUUCGGAUUGUAAAGCACUUUAAGUUGGGAGGAAGGGCAGUAAGUUAAUACCUUGCUGUUUUGACGUUACCGACAGAAUAAGCACCGGCUAACUUCGUG
rnacentral:rRNA from 1 species